ACAGGUUCAGCAACAAUACUCUGUUUCAAUUCUCGCAGUGAUUUAAAGUUACUCGGUAUGUCCGACAUAUGUGAAGUAACGAAUCCCGUCUCGAGGGCACUAACAUGGUGCACAUCGUGCGGAGGUUUCCAGUCAAUAUUAACAUAAGCAGAGUUUUCCGAAUCCUUCGAGUAUAUCAAGUACUCCCCCAGACCUCCAC
rnacentral:lncRNA from 1 species